UACGAAGGGGGCUAGCGUUGUUCGGAAUUACUGGGCGUAAAGCGCGCGUAGGCGGUGAUCUUUGUCAGAGGUGAAAGCCCGGGGCUCAACUCCGGAAUUGCCUUUGAAACGGGGUCGCUAGAGUCCGAGAGAGGAUGGCGGAAUUCCUAGUGUAGAGGUGAAAUUCGUAGAUAUUAGGAAGAACACCGGUGGCGAAGGCGGCCAUCUGGCUCGGUACUGACGCUCAGGCGCGAAAGCGUGGGGAGCAAACAGG
rnacentral:rRNA from 1 species